rnacentral:rRNA from 1 species
AGUCCAGACUCCUACGGGAGGCAGCAGUGGGGAAUAUUGCGCAAUGGGCGAAAGCCUGACGCAGCGACGCCGCGUGAGGGAUGAAGGUCUUCGGAUCGUAAACCUCUGUCAGCAGGGAAGAACGGUCACUGUGCUAAUCAGCAGUGAAUUGACGGUACCUGCAAAGGAAGCUCCGGCUAACUACGUGCCAGCAGCCGCGGUAAUACGUAGGGAGCAAGCGUUAUCCGGAUUUAUUGGGUGUAAAGGGUGCGUAGACGGGAAAUUAAGUUAGUUGUGAAAUCCCUCGGCUCAACUGAGGAACUGCAACUAAAACUGGUUUUCUUGAGUGUUGGAGAGGAAAGCGGAAUUCCUAGUGUAGCGGUGAAAUGCGUAGAUAUUAGGAGGAACACCAGUGGCGAAGGCGGCUUUCUGGACAAUAACUGACGUUGAGGCACGAAAGUGUGGGGAGCAAACAGGAUUAGAUACCCCCGUAC